CAUGUGACUCACCAGCCAUGUGACCACCAGUCCCCCCUCUGCAAGCAGCGCCCAUGGGCGACGUGAGCCCUCUGUACUGACAGAGUGUGGUGGACACGAGGUCAGCAAGUGACAAGUCUAGCUGGUUCUGUUUUCUUAUCCUUCCAGCUGGGGUGGACUUAUUCCAGCAAGAGCUAUGAUGGUCCCCUGGGAGGCGGGCGGGACUGCAAGUGGCACAACGCAAUAAUGAAGCAUUCCUGACUCAGUAGUAAUCACCAGGAUGUUGGCGACACAUGGUAAGCAAAGCACAGCACAAGCAUGGUAGCCAUAGUUAUCUUCAACAGCAGGAUGCAUGGGCAACGGGCCGAAUAGCUUACCCACACUCCCAGGGCUGUGCAACAGACUAACAAACGUAAGGAAAGUCUCCUCAUUUUCAUAUAAGAUGUACAGGGAGUAGCCACUACUUCUUCUUUGCCUUUUCAUCCAAAUAUGUGCUUUGGGACUGCUGACAAUGGCCCAAAGUCAAAUGCAACUGCUGUCUCUUCCAGAGAUGCUGUGUAGGCCCUUCCUUUGUUGAGUAUGAGACUUUCCUCUUCUGCUUCUGAAAGUACGAUGACCUUAGUCAUACACAAAGGGUAAAUUCUUAUGACGUUGUCUGACGUUAACGGCACAAUUUGAGUAUCUAGCAACUCUCUCGGAUACCAGGCAACAUGCUUCAGAGUCAGAGAGGUUGAACUGGUGAAAAAUCUCUCAGCAACGGGAGUCGUGCUACAAUUCACUGCUGAUUUUCCACCUUCAAAUUCAGAAUUCUUUCCCCAUCUUUUAGGUAAUUCUAAUAUAAGUCCUUUUAUUCCUACAUGAUGCUACAUGAUGUUGUGCUGGGCUUAACAAGGCUUGAUAGAUUUCAAACAGGGGUGCAUUUAUGCAAAGCCGUCUCUGGUACUGCGAGAGGGAGGGCUCCUCACCGGCGCAGCUGGGGCCCCGAAGGCGCAUGACUAAGAAGGCGCUGUCUUCUGCGCCCCACAGAAAGAGCUCUCUGCGAGGCCCAAGACCAGCUUUCUCAUCAACAGCUGAGGAGGCAGUGGCGGCGACGAAGGCAAUGAUGAAGCUGGCUUCUCGGGUUCAGCUGAGCUCUGGUUUUUCCGUCCCUCUCGGAGCCGCAAGAACACAGCGUGGUUGGGCAGCCAGCACCUGCCUUCCUGGUCAGCCUCUUCUCCCUUCCCACCAUCACUGCCCCCAUCUCAACAAGGCCAGUCCGACAAAUUCUGCUUUGGAAAAUCGAAAGGAAAGAAGACACUACACUGACUACAACAAUGGAAUAGAAAUUCCAGGAACUAAAGAUGCAUUGAGAAGAGAGAAAGUUAUGUCCUGCAAACCAAUUCAAUGUCUGAGCGAUAAUAACGCCCUUCUCAAAUGACAUGUAAUGAAAACUAUAUGUAUAUUGUAUUUGUGUUUAUAUGUAAUAUAUGUACAUAUAUAAGUAUGUUCAUUCCCCAUCUGAUAACUAUUUCUGUCUUGCAGGUUGUUUAAUUUUUGUUUCUUAUGUUUCAAUCUAUCUAAACAUUUACAUGGUUGUAGCUUUAUAAUACACAGAUAUAUCUGGCAGUGUCUCAGGUCCCUCAGAAACUGAAUCUUUGGGCAGGCUGUUAGUUCCAGAGGUGCAGUGAGGGAGGCACCCAAUCAGUGUAGACCAGGGUUUUUCAACCUCGACACAAUCGCUAUUUUGUUAAUUUUCUCUUGUAGGAGUUUGUCCUGUUUGUCCGUAUCCCUGGCCUCUACCUGCCAGGUGUCAGUAGCUUCCCCAAGCUAAGAUGACCAAAAAUGGCCACCAGACAUCACAAAAUUGCCCCCAGUGAAAAGCUGGUUGUUUAAACAUGUUUCCUUAUUUCCUGCCCUCAAUGCUGUACAAAGCUGUGAUACUUGGUACCGUAGCAGGCAUCUUGCAGGCAUGAGGGAAUGAUAUUACAGAGGCACUGAGGCUAGUACAUGAGGUAGAAGGGGCCAUGGUUUUUGAUGACAUUGCCAAAGUACUACACCAACCCUAGCAUUACCUCCCUAUGGGAAAUCAAUAGCUGCCACCACUUAAGCCUCUUUGGCCCUGUGUUUUGUCAUUUACAGCCAAGACCAUCCUAGUGAAUCCAGUGAUCACCUUACUCCUCUGCUUAAAACCCUUUGCUAGUUCUCCAUUCAGGAUGAAUUCUAGACUCCUGAGCUUAGCACCCGAGGGCCUUUGUCUCUCCCUCCUGCUCAUCUCUC
ensembl:lncRNA